AGGGUUUGAUCCUGGCUCAGGAUGAACGCUGGCGGCGUGCCUAACACAUGCAAGUCGAGCGAGAAGGUUACAAAUGAUUCUUCGGAAGAGUGCGUAACUAGAGAGCGGCGGACGGGUGAGUAACGCGUGGGUAACCUGCCCUAUGGAGGGGGAUAACUAAGAGAAAUCUUAGCUAAUACCGCAUAAGCGCACAGUAUCGCAUGAUACAGUGUGAAAAACUCCGGUGCCAUAGGAUGGACCCGCGUCAGAUUAGCUAGUUGGUGAGGUAACGGCUCACCAAGGCAACGAUCUGUAGCCGACCUGAGAGGGUGAUCGGCCACAUUGGGACUGAGACACGGCCCAAACUCCUACGGGAGGCAGCAGUGGGGGAUAUUGCACAAUGGGCGAAAGCCUGAUGCAGCAACGCCGCGUGAAGGAAGACGGUUUUCGGAUUGUAAACUUCUAUCAGCAGGGAAGAAAAUGACGGUACCUGACUAAGAAGCCCCGGCUAACUACGUGCCAGCAGCCGCGGUA
rnacentral:rRNA from 1 species